CCUACGGGUGGCACCAGUGGGGAAUAUUGGACAAUGGGCGAAAGCCUGAUCCAGCCAUGCCGCGUGUGUGAAGAAGGUCUUCGGAUUGUAAAGCACUUUAAGUUGGGAGGAAGGGCAGUAAGUUAAUACCUUGCUGUUUUGACGUUACCAACAGAAUAAGCACCGGCUAACUUCGUGCCAGCAGCCGCGGUAAUACGAAGGGUGCAAGCGUUAAUCGGAAUUACUGGGCGUAAAGCGCGCGUAGGUGGUUCAGCAAGUUGGAUGUGAAAUCCCCGGGCUCAACCUGGGAACUGCAUCCAAAACUACUGAGCUAGAGUACGGUAGAGGGUGGUGGAAUUUCCUGUGUAGCGGUGAAAUGCGUAGAUAUAGGAAGGAACACCAGUGGCGAAGGCGACCACCUGGACUGAUACUGACACUGAGGUGCGAAAGCGUGGGGAGCAAACAGGAUUAGAUACCCUAGUAGUC
rnacentral:rRNA from 1 species